AAAUCAUAAAAAUAAAAAAAAUCUUAGGUCACUAUAUUUUUGAUUUAAUUCCUACACAAGUUUUACAUUAUGCAUAAUGAACGAUAGAGAUAUGGUUGGAGCCGACAACGAAACUGAGUUUAGACAUACAUUCGCAUGCACUACAAAAUACUGUAUACAUUAAGCACCGUCAUUAUAGUGUGAUCUGUAGCGAACGAUGGAUUAGCAGACUACCUAUUGGGUAUACCAUCGCCAAAGCAUUGAGCACUGCAGAAAAUGGACCGCUCUGUGCUGUACAAUACAUUGGCAAUACGCGUCCAGGACUCAAUAAAAAAUAUAACUCAGUGACAUGGAAAUUGCAACACCAAGGAGUUGAUUAAAAUUUAAAAGAAAAAGGAUGAAAUAUAAACAUAUUUUUAUUAAUAAUAAUAGUAGUCUCUCCCUAUUGGUUACGCACUCCCUCACGCUUUGUAGCAUCGAUUUUAGCAGACUGCCGAUUUCCUCUUGAGGUAUUGUGUCCCAAGCAACUGAAGCAACUUGUAAUUCAUUGUGUAGAGCUUGCAGCGUCUGCGGAGGAUGCGGUAAGUUCAUCAGUCUUCUCUUCAUAAUGUCCCAAGCUUGCUCGAUAGGCAAUAUACUGGGAGAUCUGGGUGGCUAUGGCAAGAAAUUGACAUUAUCAUGUGCAAAUAAGUCCAUAGAACGUCUUUCAAUAUGGGGAUGGGCAUUAUUCUGCUGGAAAGGUGCGUCUUCCAACUGGUGAAGAAAUGGAAGAAUAUCAGGUUCUAUCACGUUAUCCACAUAUCGCUGGGGAGUCAUAUUACCUUGAAUGAAUAACAAACGAGCCCUACUCCCAUAAGUUAUAGUACCCCAUACCAUAGUCCCCCAUAGUGCACAUGCCUCAUAACAGACAAUUCAACAUUGCGACGUUCCCCACGUCUUCGGAUGCCCUUCAUACGGCCAUCAUGCAUACCCAAACAAAAUCGGGAUUCAUCACUGAACACCACUCAAUGCCACUCUAGGUUCCAGUGCAGUCGCAACCUACACCACUCCAAACGCUGCUGGCGGUGUUGAGGUGUUAAUGGUAACAAAAGAUGUGGCCGAUAGGAUUGCAAGUCUUAAGCUCUGAUUCUGCGGUAAACCGUUCGAAGUGUUACAGGACGACCUUCGUUAGCUAACAAUUAAUCGGCAAUUGACCUGGUACUAGAGAAUCGGUCUCUUGUUGCCAUAAGUCAGAUGGCGAUCCCACACUUCAAUUGUUCUUUUUCGCCCCCCCCCUUUCCUGCCCCCUCCCUUUCCUCUCUACGACGAUCCUGCCCCUUCCCAAAUCCAGGCCCGAUUGCAGCGAAUCAUGGUGGAUUGGCUUCGGUUAAGGUAACUUGCAAUUUUUGUGAACGAAAAACCACCUCCGCCCAAACCAACAAUACGACACCUGUCGACUUCUCUUAAUUCGUGGCACCCGGAAGAUGACUGGUUGACUAUAAAAAUUACAAUUGUCAAGGAACAUUAUGUAUCUUUUGAACGAGGUAUGACGGACGUCAUCAGAUUUCAAAAAGGUGCACGAUCGAUCAGUGCUUCUGAAACGGAAGAAAGGGGUGCUGGCCGUAGAGUUCUGCGCACGAAGAGGCGAUCAUCAUCGUCAGCAGAGAGCACUGAGAGGUCAUAUCCGCCCACCCACCAAAAUAGCAAGAAAUUCACCUAGGAAAUCUCCUAGAAAUCAAGGCUUUAAAAGAAACCUACUUAUACAAUCUACCUACCCUUCAGUGACACCUCAUUCUUUGGGACCCUCCACCUCAACAGCACCCUCAACAUCAAUAAGGGCAUUACCAUCAGCACCAUAUAAAAGUGUGUGAUAUUUCAAAAAAAUCACACUUUUGUGUAUCGGAUAAACCAGUGACUCUGGAAACAUUGGCGCUUGGAGUUUGCCACUUAUCGAAAUCUGUACAACAGUUGAGUGGCAGGCUGAAAGAAUUCCGUAUGGAAAUUGAAAGUAAGGUUUUAGAUAAGGACAAGACCCAGCAAAAUUUGGAGGAAACAGAAGAGGAAGAAUGUGUAUUUCAAUUACCACUAAAAAAGAUAGAAGAUUUACGAGUCUUUGAAGAGAAGCUCAAAGAAAAGGAAUUUUUGGGAAAUAUUGUAUGUAUAUAUUACAAUUAAUGGGUACGUUACGCUAAUAAGCCCCCCAGGUAUGAUCAUGAACAUGCUGGAACCACUAAAUGUAGUUAUUCGUGAAGUCUCAGAUGGAUUUGCUCCACCUGAAAACUUUGAACGCCCUUCAUUACAAAACUUGUGUUUGUUUUUCUUUCGCGGUUCUCAAGUUAUCAGGGGAUUUAAUUUAAUCAUUAUUGCGACAUUUCAUAAACAAAUUCAACAGAACUAACAACUAAUGUUUUUUAAAACAGCUAAAAAUUUUGUCGCAAAACGACGCAAAAACGAAUGUCUCAAAGACUGCCCGAAGUACCCUCCAGCGAUUAAUGGACAAUUCUUUGGCGCAAAAAUUUAGCUGGAAGGGUCAACAAAGAAAGGACCAAGUGGAGAGCAAAGAAUGUUUUUGGAAGCUCCUCAUGUGUGAUCUCAUAUACAAGUGUGUAAAAGUUAUUUGGCCAAAAGAAAACAAUUUAAAGAAAAAAAUAGAAGCCACGUUGUCCACCUUUCUUGCACAACAAGGAUCCUUAUAUUUAAAAAGGUCAAGCAUUACAAUGGAGCCUAGCAAAGAAGACGUUGAAUUAGAAUAAGGAGA